rnacentral:tRNA from 1 species
GCAGUUGUGGCCGAGUGGUUAAGGCGAUGGACUCGAAAUCCAUUGGGAUAUUCCCGCGCAGGUUCGAAUCCUGUCGACUGCG